rnacentral:rRNA from 1 species
CCCCAUGGACGAAAGUCUGACGGAGCACGCCGCGUGAGUGAUGAAGGCUUUCGGGUCGUAAAACUCUGUUGUUAGGGAAGAACAAGUGCUAGUUGAAUAAGCUGGCACCUUGACGGUACCUAACCAGAAAGCCACGGCUAACUACGUGCCAGCAGCCGCGGUAAUACGUAGGUGGCAAGCGUUAUCCGGAAUUAUUGGGCGUAAAGCGCGCGCAGGUGGUUUCUUAAGUCUGAUGUGAAAGCCCACGGCUCAACCAUGGAGGGUCAUUGGACUGGGAGACUUGAGUGCAGAAGAGGAAAGUGGAAUUCCAUGUGUAGCGGUGAAAUGCGUAGAGAUAUGGAGGAACACCAGUGGCGAAGGCGACUUUCUGGUCUGUAACUGACACUGAGGCGCGAAAGCGUGGGGAGCAAACAGGAUUAGAUACCCUGGUAGUCCACGCCGUAAACGAUGAGUGCUAAGUGUUAGAGGGUUUCCGCCCUUUAGUGCUAAAAG